GAUAAGAACGUAGCGAAAUGCGAUAAGUAAUGUGAAUUGCAGAAUUCAGUGAAUCAUCGAAUCUUUGAACGCACAUUGCGCCCGCCAGCAUUCUGGCGGGCAUGCCUGUUCGAGCGUCAUUUCAACCCUCGCAGCCCAUCUGGGCAGCGGUGUUGGGGACCGGCACCACCGGCGAAGCCCUUAGGGGCCCAGCCGGCGCCGCCCCCGAAAUACAGUGGCGGUCUCGCUGCAGCCUCCCUUGCGUAGUAGCACACCUCGCACCGGAGCGCAGCGCGGCCACGCCGUAAAACCCCCGACUUUCUGAGUUUGACCUCGAAUCAGGUAGGAAUACCCGCUGAACUUAAGCAUAUCAAUAAGCGGAGGA
rnacentral:misc_RNA from 1 species